rnacentral:rRNA from 1 species
UACGAAGGGGGGCUAGCGUUGCUCGGAGUUACUGGGCGUAAAGCGCGCGCAGGCGGCGGUAUAAGCAUGGCGUGAAAGCCCCAGGCUCAACCUGGGAGGGUCGUCGUGGACUGUACCGCUUGAGGGCGAUAGGGGCUGGUGGAAUGCCUGGUGUAGUGGUGAAAUGCGUAGAGAUCAGGCGGAACACCCGUGGCGAAGGCGGCCAGCUGGGUCGUCCCUGACGCUGAGGCGCGAAGGCGUGGGGAGCGAACAGG